UACGUAGGUCCCGAGCGUUGUCCGGAUUUAUUGGGCGUAAAGCGAGCGCAGGUGGUUUAUUAAGUCUGGUGUAAAAGGCAGUGGCUCAACCAUUGUAUGCAUUGGAAACUGGUAGACUUGAGUGCAGGAGAGGAGAGUGGAAUUCCAUGUGUAGCGGUGAAAUGCGUGGAUAUAUGGAGGAACACCGGUGGCGAAAGCGGCUCUCUGGCCUGUAACUGACACUGAGGCUCGAAAGCGUGGGGAGCAAACAGG
rnacentral:rRNA from 1 species